rnacentral:rRNA from 1 species
UGGGGAAUUUUCCGCAAUGGGCGCAAGCCUGACGGAGCAACGCCGCGUGAGGGAGGAAGGCCUGUGGGUUGUAAACCUCUUUUCUCUAGGAAGAAGAUUUGACGGUACUAGAGGAAUCAGCAUCGGCUAACUCCGUGCCAGCAGCCGCGGUAAGACGGAGGAUGCAAGCGUUAUCCGGAAUUAUUGGGCGUAAAGCGUCCGCAGGUGGUGCCUCAAGUCUGCUGUCAAAGACCGAAGCUCAACUUCGGGCAGGCAGUGGAAACUGAAGCACUAGAGUACGGUAGGGGUAGAGGGAAUUUCCAGUGUAGCGGUGAAAUGCGUAGAGAUUGGAAAGAACACCAGUGGCGAAGGCGCUCUACUGGACCGUAACUGACACUCAGGGACGAAAGCUAGGGGAGCGAAAGGGAUUAGAUACCCCCGUAGUCC